rnacentral:rRNA from 1 species
UACGGAGGAUGCAAGCGUUAUCCGGAAUUAUUGGGCGUAAAGCGUCCGCAGGUGGCAAUGUAAGUCUGCUGUCAAAGCGUCUGGCUCAACCAGAUAAAGGCAGUGGAAACUACAUAGCUAGAGUAAGGUAGGGGUAGAGGGAAUUCCUGGUGUAGCAGUGAAAUGCGUAGAUAUCAGGAGGAACACCGAUGGCGAAGGCAGGUCUCUGGGCUGACACUGACGCUCAUGCACGAAAGCGUGGGGAGCAAACAGG